rnacentral:pre_miRNA from 1 species
AGUUUCGAGGAAGCAUUUCGGCACAUAUCAAUCUAUGGAAACCAGCACAUAGAGAUGCUUCUGCUACAUU